rnacentral:rRNA from 1 species
GACGAACGCUGGCGGCGUGCCUAACACAUGCAAGUCGAACGGAAAGGCCCCUUUGGGGGUACCCGAGUGGCGAACGGGGGAGUAACACGGGAGUAACCUGCCCUUGACUUCGGGAUAACUUCAGGAAAGUGGGGCAAAUACCGGAUAGGAAUCAUUGCUGCAUGGUGGGGGUUGGAAAGCUCCGGCGGUUUUGGACGGACGCGCGGCUUAUCGGCGUGUUGGUGGGGUAGUGGCUUACCAAGGCGUUGAGGGGUAGCCGGACUGAGAGGGCGACCGGCCGCAUUGGGACUGAGGUGCGGCCGCGACGCCUACGGGUGGCAGCAGUGGGCAAUAUUGCACAAGGGGCGGCGGCCUGAUGCAGCAACGCUGCGGGUGGGAUGGCGGCCUUCGGGUUGUAAACCGCUUGCAGCAGGGGCGAAGCUUGUGGUGACGGUACCUGCAGAAGAAGCACCGGCUAACUACGUG